UACCAGCACCCCGAGUGGUCGGGACGUUUAUUGGGCCUAAAGCAUCCGUAGCCGGUUCUACAAGUCUUCCGUUAAAUCCAACUGCUUAACAGGUGGGCUGCGGAAGAUACUAUAGAGCUAGGAGGCGGGAGAGGCAAGCGGUACUCGAUGGGUAGGGGUAAAAUCCUCUGAUCCAUUGAAGACCACCAGUGGCGAAGGCGGCUUGCCAAUACGCGCUCGACGGUGAGGGAUGAAAGCUGGGGGAGCAAACCGG
rnacentral:rRNA from 1 species